rnacentral:tRNA from 2 species
GCCUGUGUAGGGUAGCGGCAUCCUCGGGGACUGUGGAUCCCCUGACCCGGGUUCAAUUCCCGGCACAGGCC